AAUUACAGGUGUUCUUGCUUCAAUAAAAAAAUACUGAAAGGGUGCUCAGUUUCUCUCAAUGCAGAACAUGUACACACAGAACAACGCGGCAGGCUUGGUGAUUACCUUAAGCUAUCGAUUCAUUGGCACGGACAAAUGCUACUUGCUAGUUAAUUAAGCAGUAUGUGUUGACAAUAAGAAGCCAAUGGGAGAAGCAGCUAAUGGGCACCUUGUCAAUCUCUUGCUCACCUUCCCAGCUAAUGGCAUCCUUCGUCUUCAUGGACACUGCUAUCUACCCAUCAGUUUUUAUGCAAGCAGAGGGAGGAGAAAUUGGAUUUUUUGCCCCAAUUUACUUCUAACUUCGAUAAUUUGCCCCGCCCCCCUAGAAUGACGGGUGGGGCUGUAGCAGCUAUUAAUUGGAUCUGAAUUCUGAUCAGUUUACUCCAGUGAUCACUACCGAUUCGGAUGGGCCUGUGGAGGGCUCCGAUGAUCUUCUAUUCUCUGUUUUCCUUCUAGCUUGCGCCUAGCCCUGCGAGAUCUUGAAAUUAGCAAUUGGCUCACUAUCAAGGUAAACCGUGUCUUCCAGAUGAUCACUGUUGAUUCGUAUUAUUGACAGCUUUUUCC